GACGGAGGGUGCUAGCGUUGUUCGGAAUUACUGGGCGUAAAGGGCGCGUAGGCGGCCUGAGAAGUCGGAUGUGAAAGCCCGGGGCUCAACCCCGGAACGGCAUUCGAAACUUUUGGGCUCGAGAACGGAAGAGGAGAGUGGAAUACCCAGUGUAGAGGUGAAAUUCGUAGAUAUUGGGUGGAACACCGGUGGCGAAAGCGGCUCUCUGGUCCGGAUCUGACGCUGAGGCGCGAAAGCGUGGGGAGCAAACAGG
rnacentral:rRNA from 1 species